AUUGAACGCUGGCGGCAGGCCUAACACAUGCAAGUCGAGCGGAUGAAGGGAGCUUGCGCCUGGAUUCAGCGGGGGACGGGUGAGUAAUGCCUAGGAAGCUGCCUGGUAGUGGGGGAGAACGUCCGGAAAGGGGCGGUAAUACCGAAUACGACCGGAGGGAGAAAGUGGGGGAUCUUCGGAGCUCACGCUAGCAGAUGAGCCUAGGUCGGAUUAGCUAGUUGGUGGGGUAAAGGCCUACCAAGGCGACGAUCCGUAACUGGUCUGAGAGGAUGAUCAGUCACACUGGAACUGAGACACGGUCCAGACUCCUACGGGAGGCAGCAGUGGGGAAUAUUGGACAAUGGGCGCAAGCCUGAUCCAGCCAUGCCGCGUGUGUGAAGAAGGUCUUCGGAUUGUAAAGCACUUUAAGUUGGGAGGAAGGGCAGUAAGUUAAUACCUUGCUGUCUUGACGUUACCAACAGAAUAAGCACCGGCUAACUUCGUG
rnacentral:rRNA from 1 species